rnacentral:rRNA from 1 species
UUCCGGUUGAUCCUGCCGGAGACUACCGCUAUCGGAGUCCGAUUUAGCCAUGCUAGUCCACCGAACCUUUGGUUCGGGGCGGAAAGCUGAGUAACACGUGGCCAACCUACCCUGUGGACAGGAAUAACCUCGGGAAGCUGAGGAUAAUGCCUGAUAGCAGAACCAUGCUGGAAAUGCGGGUUCUGUGAAAUGAUACGUCGCCACAGGAUGGGGCCGCGGCUGAUUAGGUUGUCGGUGAGGUAACGGCUCACCGAGCCCGUAAUCAGUAGCAGCCGUGGGAGCGGUAGCUGCCAGUCGUGUUCUGAGACAAGAACACGGGCCCUACGGGGCGCAGCAGGCACGAAACCUUUACAAUGCACGCGAGUGCGAUAGGGGGACUCCGAGUGCGUUCUUCCCACAAGGAAGGACGCUUUUCUGCACUGUAAGGAGGUGCAGGAACAAGGGGUGGGCAAGACUGCUGCCAGCCGCCGCGGUAAUAGCAGCACCCCGAGUGGUAGUCGUUAUUAUUGGGCUUAAAGUGUACGUAGCCGGACCUGUAAGUCUGUUGUGAAAUCCACGCGCUUAACGCAGUGGAAGCGCAACGGAUACUACAGGUCUAGGGACCGGAGGACGCCGAGGCUAUUCCAUGGGUAGGAGUGAAAUCCUAAGAUCCAUGGAGGAGCACCAGUGGCGAAAGCGCUCGGCGACUACGGAUCCGACGGUGAGGUACGAAAGCCAGGGGAGCAAAACGGAUUAGAUACCCGUGUAGUCCUGGCCGUCAACAUUGUCCGCUCGACAUGGCCCAACCUUUGUGGUUUGGCUGUGUCCAAGUGAAAACGUUAAGCGGACCGCCUGGGUAGUACGGUCGCAAGGCUGAAACUUAAAGGAAUUGACGGGGGAGCACCACAACCGGUGGGGGCUGCGGUUUAAUUAGAUCAAACGCAGCGCACCCUACCAGAGCCGACAGCAGAAUGACGGUCAGCUUGAAGAGCUUACCCGACGCGCUGAGAGGAGCUGCAUGGCCGCCGUCAGCUCGUGCCGCGAGGUGUCCGGUUAAGUCCGGUAACGAGCGAGACCCGUACCCUAUGUUGCCACGGAGACACUAGCUGUCUUCGGCACUCGUGGGGAACCGCUGGCGAUAAGCCAGAGGAAGGAGCGGGCCACGGUAGGUCAGUAUGGCCCGAAUGCUCUGGGAUACACGCGGCCAAGGGCGAAUC